GGAGACACACCUUUAACAACAAACCUGACUGAGACACAAAGCUGCAAUGUGCAGUAACAGGUGCACCAUUUCAAGCAUUCAUUUAAUACUAUUAUUAUUUAUUAUAUUUGCACAGUUAUUUCUCUAAUAUGACCAACUCAGCACAACAAUAUUAAAAAAUACAACCCAGGACUGCAAGUAUGGAAUCAGCCUUUGGAACUGUCGUCAUUCCAGUGUUGGUAUUUGAGCAUUUAACCAAUCCCCUUUCAGCUGUCCUUUGUAGCCAGGGUCAGAGCUAAAUAUGCGUUCUGAAGGCCUUGUAAUGCAAAAUCAAUGUCGGUCAUUCAUUUCUUUCAACCAAUCAGAUUUUGAGUUGUUGUCAGCAGGGCCUUCUAGCAGGCUUAGGCAACGUCACAGUAUUCAGACCUUCUGAUUGGACAGAAGUUUCAGGAAGACAGGAAACAUUUCCCACAGCCUUGGCCAGUUCGACACAGAGCUUCGGAGCACGUUUUGAUCUGUCUCAGUUAAAAACAGAGCUGACUGUAAUGUACGCCAUGGAUGAUUUAGCAGAAAAACCUCCCACUCAUCUCCUUGACGACCUUCAUCAGAAAAAUCUGAGUGAGAUCAUGAAGCAGCUGUACAGAUUUGUGUGUUUGUGUCUGCGUCUGUCCAGCAGACAUUUUCGGCUCGAAAGCUAAUUUAAACCUAAGCAACAAAUCAAUACACACAACUGGGGAGAUCCGGCUCGCAGCACUGGCCUUGAUGGAAUAGAAAAUGACUUUUUGACGGAACUGAAGCGCGAUAAUCUACAUGACAAGGUGAUCGAACUGUUUUGAGGAAAGAGAGGAGGAUGGAUUUUUUCUUCAAAUAAUCAGAUUUUUUGGAGACAUUGACCGUUUAGCCUGGGAUUUAAACCCCUGAUUGAUUGUCUUAGAGGCAGACUGCUAAAUCAAGAAACUACUGGUAGUCACCCCUGGACACUGACAAGGAAGGGAGGAACAGCAGAGGCCUACCUGGCCAAGUUGAAGGCAUCGUCCAGCAGCUGCGCUCUGUUGAUCACAGCCACCAGAUGUCUCCACUCACAUCUCCAUUCUUCAUCCAGCGCACUGGAAUAAACCACUCAUACCUGUACAUAAGAAGAUGGUUCACGCGCUUGAAAGUGCUUCUGGGAGACUCUUCCAGUAGUCGUAUCUAUGGUGACUACAGGAAAGCCCAUCUGGAGCACCCAGCGGUCCAUGAUGGAGUCGACUUGACAGGGAAGUGAAAUGUUGUUGUCUUUCACCGCCUGCAGAGACCAUCUUUAGUGAACAUGAAGCAAAA